rnacentral:rRNA from 1 species
UACGUAGGGGGCUAGCGUUGUCCGGAUUUAUUGGGCGUAAAGAGCUCGUAGGCGGUUUGUCGCGUCUGCCGUGAAAGUCCGGGGCUCAACUCCGGAUCUGCGGUGGGUACGGGCAGACUAGAGUGAUGUAGGGGAGACUGGAAUUCCUGGUGUAGCGGUGAAAUGCGCAGAUAUCAGGAGGAACACCGGUGGCGAAGGCGGGUCUCUGGGCAGUAACUGACGCUGAGGAGCGAAAGCGUGGGGAGCGAACAGG